CAGCCGCCACGGUAAAACGAGGGGAGCUAGCGUUAUUCGGAAUUACUGGGCGUAAAGCGCACGUAGGCGGCUUUGUAAGUUAGAGGUGAAAGCCCAGAGCUCAACUCUGGAAUUGCCUUUAAGACUGCAUCGCUUGAAUCCAGGAGAGGUGAGUGGAAUUCCGAGUGUAGAGGUGAAAUUCGUAGAUAUUCGGAAGAACACCAGUGGCGAAGGCGGCUCACUGGACUGGUAUUGACGCUGAGGUGCGAAAGCGUGGGGAGCAAACAGGAUUAGAUACCCCAGUAGUCCCUGUCUCUUAUAC
rnacentral:rRNA from 1 species